rnacentral:rRNA from 1 species
GACGAACGCUGGCGGCGUGCUUAACACAUGCAAGUCGAACGAAAAGACGGAAAGAGCUUGCUCUUUUCAGAAUUGAGUGGCAAACGGGUGAGUAACACGUAAACAACCUGCCUUCAGGAUGGGGACAACAGACGGAAACGACUGCUAAUACCGAAUAAGUUCCAAGGGCCGCAUGGCCCAUGGAAGAAAAGGUGGCCUCUACCUGUAAGCUAUCGCCUGAAGAGGGGUUUGCGUCUGAUUAGCUGGUUGGAGGGGUAACGGCCCACCAAGGCGACGAUCAGUAGCCGGUCUGAGAGGAUGAACGGCCACACUGGAACUGAGACACGGUCCAGACUCCUACGGGAGGCAGCAGUGGGGAAUCUUCCGCAAUGGGCGAAAGCCUGACGGAGCAACGCCGCGUGAGUGAUGACGGCCUUCGGGUUGUAAAACUCUGUGAUCCGGGACGAAAAGGCAGAGUGCGAAGAACAAACUGCAUUGACGGUAC